UAAAUUUGGGGGGACAGUUCUGUCCAUAACACCAGGUGACUCACCAAAAAUUCCCCCGAGUUAAAAAAUAAGUCCCCCAUGCCCUGACUGGUUUGGCUCAGUGGAUAGAGCGUCAGCCUGUGGACUGAAGGGUCCCGGGUUCGAUUCCAGUCAAGGGCAUGUACCUUGGUUGCAGGCACAUCCCCAGUAGGGAGUGUGCAGGAGGCAGCUGAUUGAUGCUUCUCUCUCAUCGAUGUUUCUAACUCUCUUUCCCUCUCCCUUACUCUCUGUAAAAAAUCAAUAAAAUAUAUUUAAAAAAAAAUAAGUCCCCCAGGUGACAGCUGCUCAGGAAAAUGAACAUUUAACCACUUUGUUUAUACUCAAUUCCAUUUUUGUUCUACCAUGAUUUCUUCUAACCUUCUUUUUUCUUUUCAUCUAGAGGGCAAAGACUUUGUUGAUGCCAUUGAGUAUUUAAUGGACCCAAGGAACAAAGAGAAACUGCAGUGCCUGCUGAGUGAUGAAUCCUGGGAGAGAUUUGUGGCUGUGGCCAAGCUGUCCAGGGAUGAGGCAGAUGCACUCUAUGCAGACUUGCGCGAGCUGGAAGCACUCAUGGCCGAGGAGGACAAAGACAUGCCCUCAGCAGAGCAGCUGCAUGGGGAGAGCUUUAUGAAGGAGUUUCCUCAAGUGAAACAGGACCUUGAGGAACGCAUAGGAAAGCUCUAUGCACUUGCGGAUGAGGUGGACAAGGUGCACAGGGACUGCACCAUCUCUAAAGUGGCGGCCUCUUCCACCGGCGCUGUGUCUAGCAUCCUGACCAUCGUUGGCCUGUCUCUGGCACCUGUGACACUAGGAGCUAGUUUGGUGCUUUCGGCAACUGGGAUCGGACUGGGGGCAGCAGCUGCUGUGACCGGUGUGACCACUGGCAUCGUGGAAGCCUCAAAGAACGCGUCAGCUAAAGCAAAAGCCAGGCGCCUAGUGCCAACCGGCAGUGACACAGAGAAGGUGGUCGAGAAGGUUCUAAGUCGCAGCACAACCAAAAUUGCUUUCUUAGCACCGAAGUGCUUCCAAUCCGUGAAAAAUAUUGUGAAGAAUGCCCGUGCCUUCAAUCUGGCCAAAUCCAAUCCUGUCUUAGCAGCUGAGGCCACGGGCGUCAUGAGCACGGGGGCAGUGUCAGCCCAAGGUGGCAAGCAGCUGCAGAAAGCUUUUGGAGGCACUGCUCUGGCCAUGAGCAAAGGAGUCAGAAUCGCUGGGAUCGCUGCUGCAGGUGUUUUCCUUCUCAUGGAUGUAGUGAACAUAGUGAGAGAGUCAGUGCACUUACAUAAGGGCGCAAAGGCUCGGUCAGCUAAAGAGUUGAGGCAGCAGGCCCAGGAGCUGGAGAGGAGGUUGGAAGAACUCACCCGCAUUCACACAAGUCUACAGGAGGACCUGACUUCAUGAUCCCCAGACAGAGCAGGGAGCAGGGGUGUGUGGGAGACAAAGGCAUGGACUUACCUUGUUAGGAAGCAUGGUAACCUCCAUCUUGGGUAAAACUGCCCUUUAAAAUUUUAACCCUGCUAUUCUGGCUUCUGUAAACGUUUGUGUGCUUAAAUAAUAGGGAAAAAUAAGACUACUCCCAUUCCAGAGAGGCCAUAAGCUAUGCCCCAGACAGAGUAGUCAGUGCUGGCGCCAGGCCAGGGCUUGAGAUAUGGUCUCACAGCCCUGGCCCAGCACCAGGACUUCUUCUCAGAGGGUCCGGAAGUCUUGUUCCAAAUUCGGAAGACAAAAAGCUGAAAAACGUAUAAAUAGAAAGGACUUCCACCAUAUUGUGCCCCAGAAUUUGAGAAGCAAUAUUUCCUGUGGGCCUGCUAGUGUUAGCGAAAUGAAAAAGACUCCAAAUAAAUUUGGCUUAUUGAUUAAGGCAGUGGUUCUCAACCUUGGCUGCACAAUAGAAUCACCUGGGAAUCUUUUAAAAAUCCUGAUUUCUGGGCCUCAUCCUCCAGAAAUUCUGUUUCUUUGUUACUAAUGUUGUGGACUCACCCCAUAACAAAGAAACAGAAUUUCCGGAGGAUGAGGCC